rnacentral:SRP_RNA from 10 species
GCCGGGCGUGGUGGCGGACGCCUGUAGUCCCAGCUACUCAGGAGGCUGAGGCAGGAGAAUGGCGUGAACCUGGGAGGUGGCGGAGCUUGCAGUGAGCCGAGAUCAUGCCACUGCACUCCAGCCUGGGCGACAGAGCAAGACUCCCUCUCAAAAAAAUUAAAAAAAAAAAUCUGAGGCGCUAACAAAACAAAUUUAUUUGUUUAUUUAUUUUGAGACGGAGGCUGGAGUGCAGGCGCGAUCUCCGCUCACUGCAAGCUCCGCCACCUCCCGGGUUCACGCUAUUCUCCUGC